GCUUGUUUCUAGAUCUCAGCAUUUAAAUUGAUUGUUGCUGAGAUUUAGAAAUUAAUAU
rnacentral:pre_miRNA from 1 species